UAGCCAAUAUUUUGUUUUUUAACUUGUAGUAUAUGACGGUAACAACGGUAUGUGCUUGUCCUAAUGGUUGUGUUGAUAGUUCUAAUAUAGUAGUAACAGUAGAUGUAGGAAUAAGUACAGGAACUGUACUAGAUAUAUUAUUUAUAGUGGGGAUAUUUAUAUAUGUAGCUGGGGGUAUGACCUAUAUGAGGGUAAGGAAACAAGCCAGUGGAGUGGAGAUGUUACCUAACAGAGGUUUCUGGACAGCACUACCAGGAUUAGUAAAGGACGGCUGUGUUUUUGUUGUAUCAAAAGUAAGACCUAAACGUUCAACGUACGACCAGGUGUAAAUAAUCUUUAAACUCAUCAUCAUGUAUUUAAUGUCAGAACAUGGCAUGAAAAAACAAUUGGCUAAUAUGUGUAAUUUUGACUGAAAACAUGGAGUGAUAUCAAUGAAGCGUUUAUUCAGUUUCUUUCCAAAAAUUAUCAAAAUACAAAUUAUCAUGAUUUGGAUAUCGAUCGUUCCUUCGUUGUCGAAAUAUUUAAAGCUACGUUACCAGAAAUUAUAUAAAAUAAUAAUUGAAUUGUAUAAAGCCUGUAGAUUCUGUAUAUUUAAUACAUUAAUUCAGUCUGAAAAUAAUUUUAACAAUAUACAACCUGAAGUAUAAAUUGUUUCGUCUUUAAAUAUCGGUGUAACAUGCGGACUGUGAACAAGUGAUUGUAAAUAAACAAAGCCGUGCAUCAUAUAGUACUCACUCCUUCUGCUCGAAGAUUGUCAAGGCGUGUGUGGGUGGUUUGUUUGUUUACAGUGACCACCAGUUUCCCUCAUAAUGUCAUGUUGAUUAACUGCGAAACCAUUUCUACUUUGUACUGUGCCUUAUUGCCAUGUAAUGAAUAAUAUAGAAAAAUGCUGAUGUUCUCCUUUAACUCUCUGAUUGUGUUGUAGUUUAUAAACUGUUGUGUCCUGGCUGCAAUUUGUAACGGGUAUCUUUCACGAGGCAUGGCAUGCCUACUGUCUCCGGAACG